UGAUGCGAUCAUACCAGCACUAAAGCACCGGAUCCCAUCAGAACUCCGAAGUUAAGCAUGCUUGGGCUAGAGUAGUACUAGGCUGGGUGCAUCCCUCUUUUUUGCCGUCCGGUGCUGCACGUCGCCGCCUCUN
rnacentral:rRNA from 1 species